rnacentral:rRNA from 1 species
UACGUAGGGUGCAAGCGUUAAUCGGAAUUACUGGGCGUAAAGCGUGCGCAGGCGGUUAUUUAAGUCAGGUGUGAAAGCCCUGGGCUUAACCUAGGAAUUGCGCUUGAGACUGGAUAGCUUGGAGUGCGGCAGAGGGAGGUGGAAUUCCACGUGUAGCAGUGAAAUGCGUAGAGAUGUGGAGGAACACCGAUGGCGAAGGCAGCCUCCUGGGCCAGCACUGACGCUCAUGCACGAAAGCGGGGGGAGCAAACAGG